CGGGGCGUAGCUCAGCCCGGUAGAGCACUGCGUUUGGGACGCAGAAGUCGUCGGUUCAAAUCCGGCCGCCCCGACCA
rnacentral:tRNA from 3 species